UCCUCUAGGACUUUGAUGGUUUCCUGUGUCACAUGACUCAGGGAUCCUGCUGCUACCAGUUUGCUUGGUGACGUGAAGGCCAGCUAUGACUCUCACCCGGGGAAACCUUCCAC